UAGCGAAGGGUCCAAGCGUUAUCCGGAUUCAUUGGGUUUAAAGGGUGCGCAGGCGGGGCCUUAAGUCAGUGGUGAAAUCCCGUAGCUCAACUACGGAACUGCCAUUGAUACUGAGGUUCUUGAAUGUAGUUGACGUUAGUGGAAUGUGUCAUGUAGCGGUGAAAUGCUUAGAUAUGACACAGAACACCGAUCGCGAAGGCAGCUAACGAAGCUAUUAUUGACGCUCAGGCACGACAGCAUGGGGAGCAAACAGG
rnacentral:rRNA from 1 species